AGCGAACGCUGGCGGCAGGCCUAACACAUGCAAGUCGAACGAACCUUUCGGGGUUAGUGGCGGACGGGUGAGUAACACGUGGGAACGUGCCUUUAGGUUCGGAAUAACUCAGGGAAACUUGUGCUAAUACCGAAUGUGCCCUUCGGGGGAAAGAUUUAUCGCCUUUAGAGCGGCCCGCGUCUGAUUAGCUAGUUGUUUGAGGUAAUGGCGCACCACGGCGACGAUCAGUAGAUGGUCUGAGAGGAUGAUCAGCCACAUUCGGACUGAGACACGGCCCAAACUCCUACGGGAGGCAGGAGUGGGGAAUCUAGCGCAAUGGGCGAAAGCAUGACGCAGCCAUGCCGCGUGAAUGAUGAAGGUCUGAGGAUUGUAAAAUUCUUUCACCGGGGACGAUAAUGACGGUACCCGGAGAAGAAGCCCCGGCUAACUUCGUG
rnacentral:rRNA from 1 species